GGAUUUGCAAAACAUCAUAAUCUGUUUUCAUUUAUGUGUUACACAACGUCCCAACUUCAUUGGUAUUGGGGUGUAUAAUUUGAAUCACUACUCCAGCCAGCUAGUGAGGGUAUUCAAAAAGAAGGGAGGAACAGCUGGACGCAAUAUCAGCAUGAUCAUGGCAGUCAUGGACAAAGCGUUGAAGAGAACAGCGAGGGAGGCAGAGGUUGGUCCAAAUUUGGCAAAGCUCCACAUAAAAGACGAAUUCAUGAGGAUCACAACAGUUAAUCUGGAACACACAUUUAUUACAAAUCUGGAUGCUCAUAUGCCAAAGCUUCUGGACCUUUUGAAAGGAAAAGGAGGGUCUGCAGGGACAAAGAUUCGACCCCUUUUGGAUUCACUGGCAAAGAACAAUGAUCUAGACCAGAGAUGAGAUCUUGUCAUCCGUGGCCUCAUAUUAUAUCUUGGUGAAAAUGGAGAAGAUCUACUCAAACAUUAUCAGG